UACGUAGGCAGCGAGCGUUGUUCGGAGUUACUGGGCGUAAAGGGUGUGUAGGCGGUUCUUUUAAGUUUGGUGUGAAAUCUCCCGGCUCAACCGGGAGGGUGCGCCGAAUACUGAGGGACUAGAGUAUGGGAUGGGAAAGUGGAAUUCCUGGUGUAGCGGUGAAAUGCGUAGAUAUCAGGAGGAACACCUGUGGUGUAGACGGCUUUCUGGACCAUAACUGACGCUGAGACACGAAAGCGUGGGUAGCAAACAGG
rnacentral:rRNA from 1 species